CAGUCGCCACGGUAAUACGUAGGGUGCAAGCGUCAAUCGGAAUUACUGGGCGUAAAGCGAGCGCAGGCGGUUAGAUAAGUCUGAAGUUAAAGGCUGUGGCUUAACCAUAGUACGCUUUGGAAACUGUUUAACUUGAGUGCAAGAGGGGAGAGUGGAAUUCCAUGUGUAGCGGUGAAAUGCGUAGAGAUGUGGAGGAACACCAGUGGCGAAGGUGACUCUCUGGUCUGUAACUGACGCUGAGGAGCGAAAGCGUGGGGAGCGAACAGGAUUAGAUACCCCCGUAGUCCCUGUCUCUUAUACA
rnacentral:rRNA from 1 species